CAAACUAGUAGUCAUGAAAGUAAUGAUACGAUCAUUACAAGAACUUCAUUGAUGAUGGUGAUGUGGUAAUUGCCAUGGGUCAUGAAGCAUGGGGGGAAACUUUAUUUAUUUGUUAAUUUAUUACUAGCAUAACUUCACCCACAUCCAUAUCCAUAGACAUAAUAACAUAUCAUCCAUAGGCCCAUAGCUUUAUUUUUUACCCCAUUCAGGGAGGCCUGCAGUAAGCACUGUUACCUUUACACCUACGAUGCGGUGGCUUUGUUGGUAUGCAUUUUGUUCCACGACCACAUUCUUUUCCUUUGCGUUCACCACCUGCAACAAUCAUAUAUUAUGUGCAUCUAUGCAUACUGUUAAUUAUAUAUAUAUGGAUGUCCUAUAUAUAAACAUAAAGACUAGCUGCUGAAUCUUACCCAAGGGCUGGUCCUGGAUAGGCAUGGCGGAAAUGGGAAUAAAGAAAGAGGAAGCUAGGAGAACACAAACUAAAAGAAACAGUGGCUUCAUUUUGGAUUAUUAAGUAGGUUAAGUUCAUCUCCUCUCUCAACUCCUAUUUAUAGCCCAAUUUCAAGUCUUUUGAAGAUUAAAAUAAUAUUAAAUAAAAAUAAUAAAAGUGAACAUUAGUGAUGAAAAAGUAGAAAUUAUGAAAUAAUGACAGUGGGAACAGCUAUUAAAUAAAGCUAUGCCAUUUUAUAUAUAUAUAUAUGUUAAUCGUGUCAUUAAUAAAUUUUGAGUACUUGUGUAUUCAUAUCUCGAACACAAAUACGAGAUAAAAACUCAUAUUUUUGUUGUCAUAAUUUAUUUUUGACCCGAUUAGAUCUAGAAGUAUAAAUUUACAAUUAUUUUUAAUAUUAAAAAAUAAAGAUUAUUAAUAUAUUAUAUUUAUAAUUAUAUUUAAAUAAAAUAUUUUUAAUUGCUGAAUUAAAUUUUUUAUAUAAUAAAAUCUCAAAUUCACAUUCUUAUUUAAAUUAUUAAUUUGAAAGUAAGGUUAACCCAAAUUCUUUAUAUUGAGUGCAGUAACUAACUUUGCUUUUAGGAUCAAAUUUUCCACAAAAUCAAAAGAAAGCAAUUAUUGCUAUUGUCUCUUUCAUUACAUCUAUUUAUCUAAUUUACAAAGGAAAAUAUAUAAUGUUGACCCCAAGUCAAGUGGACAUUUUGCUUUCACCAAACAGUAACCAAACAUUAUAAAUUUCUGAUGCCCUCACUUCAUUGAUGUCAUUUAUGCUACCAUCAUCUUACUUUUUUCUCUUUUACAUGUUUCACGUGGAUUCUAUUUUUAUAGAGAAUUGUUAGUAUCAAACAUUGAUUUUCACUUUUAAUUUUUAAACCAUUAAAUUAGAAGGAAAACGUAUAUAAAUGUACUUAAAUUUACACUCUUUUUAUUGUCACAAUAAAAAAAGUGUUAAUCGAGUUAAAACUCAACUAAUUAUUAUCAUUAACAAAAUUACAAUUUCAUAAUUUUUAUUGUUUAAAAAAAUUAAGUUUCAAUAAAAAAAAUGUCUUAUGAAAUGACAAUAGAAAUUUUGGUUAAUGUGGGAUUGUUCUUAAAAAAUGUUUCACCAAUCAACUUGAGGUUGGCUAACAUUUAUCAUAUGAUGAUGAUGGUUGGUAUUUUGAAAUCAGGCAUCAAACAAAGUGUACAUACAUGAGGCCUUGUUUAAAUUCUACCUUCUUGUUAAUAAGAGAGGUCAAAAACAAUGCGGUUCUUGCGAGGAAUGGGAGAUACAUAUAAUUUCUCUGGGCCAAACUCUCUUCAAAAUGUCUAAGCAAAGAAUAGGAAGAUGCAAGCUACUCAAUAUAAAGAGAAAUCUGGGAUCAAUAUAUCAUUAGUAGAAGAACAAAGGUGAAUUGGUGACUUGAAUCGACUUUUGCUGAUAUUAACACCUUAUUUAAAAUGUUGAUAUCGUGGUGGCAAGAUAAGGUUAUAAAAGUAUACAACAAAAAUAAAUAAAUAAAUAGUCAAAUGAACUUAAGAGUUUGAGAUCGAUAUGUUACAUAUUCAAAGUAAUAAUUUUGAUUGUUUUUUAAACUUUUAAUUUCAGCACUAUGUUAUAGCCCCUUACAUUGAAUUUAUUCAUAUGAUGAUAAUGGAACAGUAUGCAUCUGUCACAGAGUUAAAAUUUUAGUCUAGAAAAUUAUGCGGUCUUGGACGAUUCAUUUUUAAAUCCGCGUUAGUCUAUCUCAUUGAAAAGGCGAGAAUUCUUAAAGAAAUUAUUUACGAUAUUGAAGCAAACUCUCAAGCGAAGAAGCUACAAGCGAACAUAAAAGCCACAAGAAAGCAAAUGCAUAUCAAAUGUUGAAGUAAAUGCUCUUAAAAAUAUUCUAUUACUUUUAAUGGAUUACACUAAAUGUAAAAUGGAAUGAUUAAAAAUGAAGCGAAGGCUUCUAUUUAUAGUUGAACUAUCUUAAAUUCAACAGUACAAUUUAAAUUACAUCGGCGGCUAGGUUCAAAGCCUAUUUGUAAUAUAAAAGUGCUAAAAGAUUUAAACACUAUACAAUUUUAUUCCUUAGAAUUUACAAUAUCCAUCAUGGUAACUCUAGUUUACUAGUAUGUUUUAACUGAACCAUCAAGGCUUCAAGUAAAUAGACUUCUCUAUGUACUCCACAAAUCAGACCAUUUCAUAUGGGUUAAAUGAGUGCUAAAAACCUAUUAAUACAAUAUUAAUCUCAAUAAUCAAAAUUUGGUCAACGACCCUAACCUCGAAAAUAAUAUUUUACAAGACAAAUUAAAAAACUAUAUCAACAUCAAGGAAAUAAACAAAUAUAUUAUUCAAAUCAAUUUCUUAAUUAAUUUGAAUUUUGAAUGUCCAUAAAAGGCGUUUCAAUUUCAUUUAUUUAUUGAAUCAAAACUCAAACAUCAUGAGAAGUAACCUUCCAAAAACUCAAUGCAGGUUUGCUUUGUGUUUUCUUCGUCCAACAAAAAACCAAAUGUAAGCGUAGUAAACUAAGGGUGGGUUUGGAUGAACGGUACGUUUAUUUGCAGUUAGUAUAAAAAUAACAGUGACAAUAAGAUCAAAUAUUGUAGCGAUACUGUAACGUAAGAUAAAAAAUAAACUAAAUUCACCGCAUCGCACGACACUGUCCAUCCAAACUCACCUUAAAAGACUUAUAAAUCGACUAAACUAUUCAAAUCUGUUAAAUUGAGGGAAAACCUCAGUAAAAUUCCAUCGUAAUGAGUUAGAUUGGACCACUAUUUGAAAAAAGAAGCUAUAUCCUUUGCCAUCUUCUAUUAUCAGCCCAAUCCAGCUCAGAAUUAUUUAAUUUUAUUUAUAAAAAUCAUAAAUAUUUAUUUUUUUAUAAUUUAAAUAAAAAUAUUUUUAAUUACAAAGUAAGAAUCUGAGUAAUUGACCAUUCAAAUAUCUCGUACUGCACAAAUAACUCUAGUCUGUAAUUUUCAUGAAAGUCCUUGAAAAGAAAAAUAAAGCAAUUGUUGCUGUUUGUCCCUUUCAUUAGUGAUAGAUGCUUAUCCUUUCGCUUGGAAAUAUUAGAAUGAUUUUAGAUGUACAUUUUUUUUAUAUUUUCCAUGUAGAAGAUUUUAGAUACAUAUUACUUAGAAAUGAUAAUUGAUAUUAGAGGUUCUUAGAAAUUGUAUAUUUAUUUAGAAUACAAGUUGAAUGUAUACCUUAAUUAAAUUAUUUAUAUUAAAUAAAAUUUGAAAUAUUUAUAUAUAUAUAGUUAAUCAUAUGAUAUUUUCUAAGUGCCACUGAUUAAACAAUUCAAAAAGAUAAAAUUGGGUAAAAGUAUCAUGGAUGCCUCUGUAAUAGGACUCAGAUUGUAUUUUACCUUAUCUACUAAAAAAUGAGCAAAUUAGUCCCUAUACGUUACAUCAAAAAUUAAAAUUGGUCCUUUCUAUUAAUAAUUUCAUCUAUUUGUACCGUUAAAAAUUAGCGUACUGACAACUAACAAAACAAUGACAUGUGGAGUGACAUAUAUACAGUGGCGAAGCCAGAAAAUUAUUUUGGGGUAGAAUUAAAUUGUAGAUUUUUAUGAUAGUAAAAAUGCAAUUUCACUAUUUUAAUAGUCUAUAUCUUUAUAAUUUUUAAAAGAUUAAAUCAAAAUUUUAUCGUUUUUAGGAGGGACAAAGUAUAAUUUUACCAUUACUAAUUUAAAAUUUUAUAAAUUAUAAAAUUUUCCAUUUUAGGGUGGUCGGGGCCCUGCCAGCCCCUGACUUCAUCACUGCACAUAUACAUCGUGCUAACAUAUAGAGACUAGUUUUUAAUGAUAUAAAUAGAUGAAAUUUUAAUAGAAUGACUAAUUUACUAUUUAAUCUAACAUACGAGGAUUAAUAUACCUAUUUUUCUAGUAGAAGAGAUAAAAUUAAUCUAACUUCUAAUACAAUAACCUUCAUGAUACUUUUACCAUAAAAUUGAGGAAAAAACCUUCUAAAUUUCCAUGUGAAUGAGUUAGAUUCCCAUCGGCUGAAUUGGACCACCGUCUAAAAUUUUUGUAUAUUCUUUUCCAUUGUCGAAACCAUUUUCAAAUCGAUGUUUUGGAAAAUGGGAAUCGACUUUAAGAAAAACGAAAACGGGAUUCGCCACCAAUCUUUUUAGGUGUGAUUGGAUCACCUUAUAAAAUGUUUUGUUUUAAAAAAUUAAUUUUGGUCUACGAAAGUCGAGAAAACGUAUUCGGGAGUCGGUUACGUACGAGGAAGGGUUAGCACCCUCGUAACGCCCAAAAAUUGGUACCUAAUUGAUUAUCAAGUGUCUUUAAUGUCGGAAAUUUGAAAGUUUUAAGAUGCAAUCCCCUUUAGAAUAUUUUGAUUAGGGUUCACUUGUAUCAAAUGAAUCAAAAUAUCACAUCCGGUAAGUUAGGACGCAAUAUUUUUAAGACAUUCGAAGCUAAGCUAACCUUUUGAAAAUCUCUAUCUCGAAACAACAAAACGCCAUAUCCAGUAAGUUAGGACACAACGCUUUGAAAUUCCAAGACAGUUGCUCGUAUUUUGAAAACCCUAAAAACUUAGAAGGGUGCUUGACUAUUCAAACUCAACGAGAAAAGUUGCAACCCAGUAAGUUAGGGCACUACCUUUCUCGAAGCUUCCAAAUACCAAGCAUUGCCUUUUUAUUUGAAAACUUUGGAAUGUCCUUUUUGAUUAAUGCAUGAGGAAUGAUAUUAACAUUAUAGAAUAUAACAUACAAGAUAGCAUAUUACAAAUAAUAGGUAGCUAAAACAUGCAUUUAAACAAUUCAAUGGCAAUAGUGCAAAGAUCAUACACUAGAUACAUACGUGUUUAAAAUUACAUCAUGCACAUAAAGAUACACGUAGCAUAUAUUGAAGAUGAAUAAGCAAAACAUAUAAACAUGCAAAAUAAUAAUUAACUUAAAAGUGAUGCAUGAUAUACAAUUUGACAUAAAUUACACAAUAUACACUUCCACUUUAGGCAUAUAUCAUCAUAAAUGACCUAAAUGUUCAUGUAUCAUUGUUUCAUGCAAAAAUAAAACAUAGAGUAUAAUGAAUUCAAUAACAUAACAUCUAUAUAACAACAUUUCAUGCAAAUAUACCUUAAAUUAAUAUAAAUAAUUAACUUCCAUGCAAAUACGUAACAACAAUAACAAAUAAUUUACUAAACAAUAACGAAAUAUAAAAAAUAAGCAAAGUAUAAACAUAUGAAAUAUAAAUCAAAUAAAAAUAUUCAUAGACUUUAGAUUAAUAUGAAAAUAAUAAAAGAAAACCCAAAAAGAUUAAUAUAUAAAAACCAUAUUAUAGGGUAUACUUUAUAAUAAAAUAAAAAUAAUGUAAAGAAACAUGGUAAAAUAGAGUGUAUGAUAUAAUUUACAAAUAAAAUAUAUACAAAUCAUAUAAUAAAUAAUAUAAAAAUAUAUAAUAAAAUCUAUAAUAUAUAUAUAAAAGAAAGAUAGAUAUUACAAGGAACAAUAGAUAAUAUCGCAUGUAAUAAAAAUGCAUAAAUAAAAUAUAAUGAAAUAUGAUAAAAAAAUAUAAAAUAAUAAUAAUAAUAUAAUAAGUAUUUUUAUAUAAAAAUAUAGUAAUAUAAAUAAUAUAUAAUAAAAAUAUAUACCAUAUAGUAAAAAAUAAAUAUACCAGAAUGGAUAAUAAAAAAUAAUAUGUACUGCUUAUAUAACUAAUAUUUAAAAAUAUGUAAAGUAUUUAAAAUAAAUUUAAAAAUAUAAAAAAGAUCAAAAUUGAAUCUAAUUAAGGAAUUAGGGGUUAAUUGCAAAAUAAACGAAAACUCUGGGCCUGAUUGAAAUGCGCAUUAAAUUCAGAGGACUCUUUGGUAAUUAACCCUAAUCCUAAAAUGACAACGUUUCCACCAACUCAGUUUUAAAGCCACUAUGAGGAUCAAAUCGAAAUAAAAUUAAAAUAUUAGGGCUGGAUUAAAAAUGAAAUUAUAAAGAUAAAAAAACGAGAUGACCAAUUGAGCAAUUAACCCAAGUAUCAAAAACACGCGGAUCCUCCCCGGGUUACGGGUCAACACGCGGAUCUUGAGGCCUUAAAACGAUGCCGUUUCGGUCACUAAACGAUCACCCCAACACGGCGUCGUUCAGGAGGCUUAUAAAUACAAAAAAAAAACCUCUAAAGUUUCAUUUUGAUUCGUGUUUUAAAAAAAAAAUUUAGAAAGUCCUCUGAAAGAGGAAGGAAAAGGGGCCCUCGGAGCUCUGGCCAAGCCUCCGUCAUCGGGCGGUUCACGCGCUUUACGUGCCCACGCGCCGCCCUUUUCGCCGUCGUACACGACCUUCAGAGGUUAGAGACCUCGAUUUCUGACACAAGAUGAAAGGUAAAACCCUUUUUCACACUUUAAAACUAUUUAUCAAGUUGUUUGUGUAUGUAUAUGCUUUGAAUAUGAAAAAUAAAAAUAAAAUAGAAGAUUCACCUCUUAAAAAAAAACUGCUUGUAUUUGCUUUUUUUCUGCCUCCAUAUUCGUAUCUUUUAUAGGUUACAAAAAGGGCUUUUAUAGCCACUGUUUCUAUUACAUUUUGGGAAAGAAAUAUUUUAUUUCUUUCCAUAUCUAUUUUGUUCGUUUGCUGCUGUUUCUUUCCUUCUUUUGCAGGUAACGCCGAAAAAUUUGGCGGUGAUGGAGGCUUGACGAUGGUGACGACAGACCAGUCACUGACUGCGCACUGGCUUGCAGCGCUGAUGGAGGGUAGCUGGAUCGACGAACGGACACGAGUCGGAGGGGCGUGACUCUUGGUCUGAUUACGGCGCAAACCCUAACUAGGGUUCCCUGAAGCCGAAGAUAGAUUGGGCCAAUUGGGCCGAUUAAGUCCUGGGUUCAGGGGUAGGGUGUAAAUGGGUCUACUGGGAAAUUCUAAUUUUAGGCCUACGGUCUGUUGUAAAUGGACUGUUUAAAUAUUUAUUUAUUAUUUUUUAUUUUUUAAGGCUCGGGCAGAUUUGGGCUAUUACAGCCAUUGUUUAUUAUCAACCCGUUCCGACUCAGAAAUUCUGAGUUCAUUAUUUAUUUAAUAUUAAAAUGUAAAAAAUAUUAUUUAUGUAAUUUAACUUAGACUCAAUGAUUUACUUGGUUCUCUAAUUUUACAAAAAAAAGUCAUUUUAGCCCAUAGUUUAACUUGUCUUUUAGCCAUUAAACUUGUGGUCUUUGUUAAAUAACCCCAAAAUGGAUAAAAAAAUUAACGUCUGUUAACUUUGCUAAUGUGGCAUCCACGUGUAUGAUAAGAAAUUAAUUUAAUUUUUAAAAUUUUAAAAAUAUUAAAAUUAUUUUCUUAUAAUUUCUAUACUUUUUUAAUAAUUUUAUUUUUUAAAAAUAAUUUUUAUAUUUUUUGAAUUUUUAAAAUUUUUAAAAAGUAAUUAUUAAUGUGACAUACAUAUGGUAAUCCAUGUAGAUGUCAUGUCAACAAAGUUAACAUACGUUAACUUCUUCAUCCAUUUUGAGAUAAUCUAACACACAACACAAGUUUAAAAACUAAAAGAGACAAAAAAAAUUUGAGGGUUAAAAUAUUUUUUUUUGUAAAGUUGGAGGGUCAAAAAAGAUAUUAUGUCUUUAAUUUAAAUAAAAAUAGUUGUAUUAAAAAAUAAAAAUUGGGUAAUUAACUCAAAGUGAAAUUUAUUUUAUCUCAAAACCAUUUAAACAUAUUGUUAAGGUUGUUUGAAUCAGAUUUGAUCGGCCAAUUGAAUUGGAAAUCGGAGACGGUCAUUGAAUUAAGCAAAAAUUGAUUGACCCAAAUUUUUAAUGAUUUAUUUAAUUAAAUUGGAUUGACCGAUUAAACUAGUCAAGUUAAAUUUGGGCAUAUUACACUUAAGAAAUGACCUACAUCACCAAGGCUUAACGUUUUGAUUCAUCUAAUCACACCUAGAGGUUCAAUUUAACAGAUUUAGGGUUGGAAUCCUAGCAACCGCAAUUCAUUUCCUCUUACCCCAGACUAUAGCCUACGUUGCAGAAGGAAAAUCCUUAGAGAAUCUUGUUGGGCAUGGGCCAAAGGUCUCACAAUGCUACAUAUUUAUAUGUAGUGGGGGCAGCUAUUUUUUUUGAAGUGUGAAAGUGUGCGUGCUUCAAGUUAAUUAAAGAGAAAAAAGUGGGGAGAGAAAACUGCAUUUUUUAUUUUUUACACAAACCAUCCUUUGUAUUUUCUCCUAUCAGCUGAGGUCUGUUUAGUAUCCGUUGAAGCUGAUUUUUUUAAUGGUAGUGAGUAGACUAAAAAAUAUUUAAUGUGUGACGUUGAAUUAUAGUUUCGGGUUUUGAACUUUUAAAAUCAAUAAAUUUUUGAUAAUAUUUUUAUCUUUUCUCUCAAAGUUUGCUUAAAAUUAUCCGGUAAUAGUCUUAUUUAAAUUGUAUACUUUUUAUUAGGGUUUGGUUAUGAUCUUAUAAUAAAACUUUAAUUACAGUAAAUUUUUUUGUGGACUUUCAAAGUCACAUAAUUUUUACCCUUUGCCAACAAAUAAGGUAAAUUUUGCAUCUGGUUGAGUCCCUUUUCUCAAAACUUGUCUCAACAGAUCAAACAUAAAUUUAUUUGAAAAAUAAAUAGAAAUUAUUAUUUAUAUAAUCUACGUGAUAUUAUUAUGAAAGCGUUUUUAUCUUCCAUAAAAAAAAGUAUUUUAAUCUUUUCAAUUCAUUUUUUUAUAUAAAAUCAAUAAAGAUCUCAUACACGAUGAACUAAACAUUAUGAUUUUAAACUUUCAACUUUACUAUUUUAAUUAAAAAUUUAUAUAAAUAUAUAUUUACAUAUUUAUUUGACUCAAAUUAUUAAUCAUAUCACAACUUACUUAAAUUUUAAUAAAUUGAUACAUGAAUAUUUAUAUUAAUUAAAAUUUGAAAUAUUUGUGUAUUCAUAUAGUUAAUCAUAUGAUAUUUUGUUGCUACUAAAAUAGAGGAAAAGACUCGUAAAUUUCAAUGGCAAUAAAAUAGAUAUCCCAUAGGCUAGAUUGAACCAUUAUCUUAAAAAAGUUAUAUUCAUUUGGCAUGGUCUCAUUCGAUAAUUCGAGUUUAUCAUUUAUUUAAAAUUAUUUUCUUAAAAUAUUAAUAUAUAUUUAUAUAAUUUAAUUUUUAGAUAAAAGAUUAAUUUUUAUUUCAAACCAUAUUGGAACCCACCAUUGUUUGAAAAGUCAAAUGGGGUGGGCACUGAAAGUAGAAAGUAAUAUUGGUUGGCAAGUUGGGUUAAAAGUUGGCAUGGGAUAAUUGCAAUUUUGGUCCCUAAUUGUAUAGGGACAUUGCAAGUUGAUCCUUGAACCUCAACUAUAAAUAGGCCUAACCAUUGCUUACUUUCUUCAUCCCAUAAUUGCCAUUCUCUACUUAAGGCAUUAUUCUCUCUCUAUUUGUAAAUUUCACUUGUAAUUUUUAGAGUGAAAUAUAUUUGGUAGUGCCCGAGGACGUAGGCAAAAUUUGCUGAACCUCGUUAAAAUUCUGGUGUUCUUUAUUAUUUGUUUUGCAUAUUUUGUGAAUGUGAUUGUAGUGAUUUAUUGUGCUAUUAAAUUACGAUAGAGGGAUAUUCUGGCUAGGAAAGACUUGGUAUUUAAGUGAUCUUUGUGAUCUACCUCUCUUUCCUGGGAAUUGAACUUAGUGUGAUUUUUCAGUAUAAUAAUUUUACUCUUUUACACGCUUCCGCGCAACAAUUGGUACCAGAGCCAAGUUCGUACUUGGGGAAUACGACCGUUUACGGUACUAUUCACAUAUACGACACUAUUUAUGUAUACGGUACUAUUCACGUAUACGACACUAUUCACAUAUACGGUACUGUUCACGUAUGCAGUAGUUGGGAUUGAGGAGAAAAAUGGCAGCAGCAUCGUCAUCAGCAAGGACUACUGUGACAAAUGCAAAAUUUGAAGUAGAGAAAUUUGACGGUACCAAUAAUUUUGGUAUGUGGCAAUGUGAGAUCCUGGAUGUCUUAUGUCAGCAAGAGCUAGAUAUAGCCCUUGAAGAAAAACCUGACAAGAUGGAUGACAAGGAGUGGGCCAAGAUCAAUAGACAGGCGUGUGGUACAAUCCGCCUAUGUUUGGCCAAAGAGCAGAAGUACUCUGUCAUGAGGAAGACAUCAGCGAAGAAGUUAUGGGAUACACUAGAAGAAAAGUUUCUAACGAAAAGUCUUGAAAAUAGGCUUUAUAUGAAAAAGAAACUUUAUCGAUUCACGUAUGCACCCGGUAUGUCGAUGAAUGACCAUGUGAACUCAUUCAAUAAAAUUUUAGCAGACUUGCUAAAUUUGGAUGAGAAAUUUGAAGAUGAAGACAAGGCAUUAUUGUUGUUGAAUUCCCUUCCUGAUGAAUAUGAUCAUCUUACCACCACAUUGCUUCAUGGGAAGGACACGAUCACAUUUGAUGCAGUCUGUAGUGCGUUGUAUAGAUCUGAGACUCGAAAGAAAGAUAAAAGAGAUCACAGAGAUACAACCACAGAAGUCUUAACAGUAAGAGGUCGUUCACACAGCAACAAAUCUGGUAGAAGGGGAAAGUCCAAAGGGAGACCCGCCAAAGAUGAAUGUGCCUUUUGCCGUGAAAAAGGGCAUUGGAAAAAGAAUUAUCCUAAGCUACAAAAGGGCAAGGCUAUUUCUAAUGCAUGUGUAGCGGAGCAUGAUGAGGAGUCAGACUUUAGCUUGGUUGGAAUGGCAAUGGCAUGUCAAACGGAUGAGUGGAUUUUAGAUUCAGGAUGUACUUACCAUAUGUGUCCUAAUAAGGACUGGUUUUCUAGUCUUAAAGAGCUAGAAGGUGGAAUUGUUCUUAUGGGCAAUGAUAGUGCUUGUAAGACAAUGGGAGUGGGUACAGUCCAAUUGAAGAAUCACGACGGCUCAAUCCAAGUCUUGACAGAUGUUCGCUACGUACCUAGCCUGAAGAAAAAUCUCAUCUCAUUAGGGGCCCUAGAAUCUAAAGGGCUCACAAUCACUUUGAGAGAUGGAUUACUAAAAGUAGUAGCUGGGCAACUAACGGUGAUGAAAGGCACAAGAAGAAAUAACUUGUAUUUUUUAAAUGGAAGUACAGUUAUUGGAUCAACAUCAACAGUUUCUACAAAAGAUGUAGAUUCAGAGGCUACCAGAUUAUGGCAUAUGCGAUUGGGACAUGCUGGUGAAAAAGCUUUGCAGACAUUGGUGAAGCAAGGCUUAUUGAAAGGUGCAAAUUCUUGCAAAAUGGAAUUCUGUGAACAAUGUGUUCUGGGCAAGCAGAAGAGGGUAAAAUUUGGUCCAGCAAUUCACAAUACGAAAGGAAUUCUGGACUACGUUCACAGUGAUGUGUGGGGACCUACCAAAGUAGCUUCUUUGGGAGGUAUGCACUAUUUUGUUACUUUUGUUGAUGAUUAUUCAAGAAAAGUAUGGGUGUAUCUAAUGAAAAGAAAAAGUGAAGUUUUGGAUGCAUUUCUGAAAUGGAAGAAGAUGGUGGAGACUCAGACUGGUCGAAAGGUCAAACGACUUCGAUCAGAUAAUGGUACUGAGUACAAAAACGAUCCAUUUCUACAAGUAUGCCAAGAUGAGGGCAUUGUGCGACACUUCACUGUUCGGGAUACACCACAGCAAAAUGGGGUGGCAGAACAAAUGAAUCGAACUAUACUAGAGAAAGUUCGACGUAUGUUGUCCAAUGCUGGGUUGGGCAAAGAAUUUUGGGCUGAGGUAGUUACAUAUGCGUGCCAUCUAAUUAACCGUUUGCCAUCAGCUGCAAUAAAUGGAAAAACUCCUAUGGAGAUGUGGACUGGUAAAUCUGCUACUGAUUAUGAUUCUUUGCAUGUAUUUGGUUCCACUGCAUAUUAUCAUGUAAAAGAAUCUAAGUUAGACCCAAGAGCAAAGAAAUCAUUAUUCUUGGGUAUAACUGAUGGAGUAAAAGGAUAUCGUCUCUGGUGUCCUGAUACAAGGAAGAUUGUUUUCAGUAGAGAUGUGACUUUUGAUGAAUCAACCAUGUUGAAGUACAAGGAUUCACAAAAGGAUGACAAAACCAGUAGUACUUUGCAGCAGGUGGACUUGAAAAGGUUAACGAUGAUCCAGCUAAUAUUGAAGGGACAAAUGAUGAAGAGGUUCCUACCCAAGAACCUCUACAACAACAAGAUUCAAUUGUAUAUAGAAGGCCAAGAAGAGAGAUUCGUAAGCCUGCUCGCUUUGAUGAUAUAGUGGCCUAUGCACUUCCAAUUACAGAUGAUGAUGUUCCUUCUACUUACACAGAAGUAAUAAGUAACCCUGAUGGUGUAAAGUGGAAGCAAGCAAUGAAUGAAGAAAUGCAGUCUCUUCAUAAAAAUAAGACCUGGGAGUUGGUGACACUACACAAGGGAAAGAAGGCAAUUGGAUGCAAAUGGGUAUAUGCAAAGAAGGAAGGAUUUCCUGAUAAAAAUGAAAUUCGAUACAAGGCUAGAUUAGUAGCAAAGGGUUACGCUCAGAAAGAAGGAAUAGACUACAAUGAAGUGUUUUCUCCAGUUGUGAAGCAUUCGUCUAUUCGGAUUUUGCUAGCCUUGGUUGCGCAAUAUGAUCUUGAACUAGUUCAGCUUGAUGUGAAGACCGCGUUUUUACACGGUGAUUUGGAAGAGGAAAUCUAUAUGACUCAGCCAGAUGGAUUCAAGGUUGCUGGAAAAGAAAAUUGGGUUUGCAAACUGACAAAGUCGCUUUAUGGAUUGAAGCAAUCUCCGAGGCAGUGGUACAAGCGAUUUGAUCAGUUCAUGAAAGGGCAAAGGUACACAAGAAGUAAAUUUGAUCAUUGCGUGUAUUUUUAGAAGCUACAAGAAGGAACGUUCAUAUACUUGCUCUUGUAUGUUGAUGAUAUGCUAAUAGCAUCUAAGAGCAAAGUUGAGAUUGAAAGAUUGAAGACUCAACUCAAUCUCGAGUUUGAGAUGAAAGAUCUAGGAGAAGCUAAAAAGAUUCUCGGCAUGGAAAUAUGGAGAGAUAGAGCUCAUGAUAGAGUUAGCUUGUCUCAGAAGCAGUAUUUGAAAAAGGUACUACAGCAGUUUGGCAUGAAUGAGCAGACAAAACCUGUAAAUACCCCGUUGGCUUCUCAUUUCAAGCUUUCUGCACUAACUAUCUCCUUCGACGAAUACGGAACGAGAAUACAUGUUGCAAGUUCCGUAUUCUAAUGCAGUAGGUAGCUUGAUGUAUGCAAUGGUGUGUACAAGACCCGACAUUUCACAGACAGUUAGUAUAGUGAGCAGGUAUAUGCAUAAUCCUGGAAAAGGACAUUGGCAAGCUGUGAAAUGGAUUCUACGGUAUAUUCAGAAGACCGUGGAUGUUGGAUUACUGUUCAAGCAGGAUAAUACACUUGGUAAAGGUGUUAUUGGGUACGUUGAUUCUGACUAUGCCGGUGAUUUGGACAAGCGAAGAUCAACCACCGGUUAUGUGUUUACACUUGCUGGAGGACCAAUAAGUUGGAAGUCUACACUACAGUCUACAGUUGCAUUGUCAACCACAGAAGCCGAGUACAUGGCUGUAACAGAGGCUGUAAAGGAGGCUAUUUGGUUACAAGGUAUGGCUAAAACCUUGGGGUUGGUUCAGAAGCAUAUUAACGUGUAUUGUGAUAGUCAAAGUGCUAUUCAUUUAGCAAAGAAUCAAGUCUAUCAUGCACGUACAAAACAUAUCAACGUACGAUUCCAUUUUGUGCGGGAAAUUAUUGAAGAGGGGAAAAUUUGUCUUCAGAAGAUCAAGACUGCAGAUAAUUCCGCAGAUAUGAUGACCAAGGUGGUAACAGCAACCAAGUUCGAACAUUGUUUGAACUUGAUUAAUAACCUGCAAGUUUAACAGUUGAAGAAGGCACUAUCAAGUAUUGUUGUCAAAAGCAGAAAGAAUUGUGUGAAGAUAAGAUUAUCGUAAUCAAAUCUUCAAGGUGGAGAUUAUUGGAACCCACCAUUGUUUGAAAAGUCAAAUGGGGUGGGCACCGAAAGUAGAAAGUAAUAUUGGUUGGCAAGUUGGGUUAAAAGUUGGCAUGGGAUAAUUGCAAUUUUGGUCCCUAAUUGUAUAGGGACAUUGCAAGUUGAUCCUUGAACCUCAACUAUAAAUAGGCCUAACCAUUGCUUACUUUCUUCAUCCCAUAAUUGCCAUUCUCUACUUAAGGCAUUAUUCUCUCUCUCUAUUUGUAAAUUUCACUUGUAAUUUUUGGAGUGAAAUAUAUUUGGUAGUGUCCGAGGACGUAGGCAAAAUUUGCUGAACCUCGUUAAAAUUCUGGUGUUCUUUAUUAUUUGUUUUGCAUAUUUUGUGAAUGUGAUUGUAGUGAUUUAUUGUGCUAUUAAAUUACGAUAGAGGGAUAUUCUGGCUAGGAAAGACUUGGUAUUUAAGUGAUCUUCGUGAUCUACCUCUCUUUCCUGGGAAUUGAACUUAGUGUGAUUUUUCAGUACAAUAAUUUUACUCUUUCACACGCUUCCGCGCAACAAACCAAUUCAAAUAUACAUAAUCACAUGAGCUAAGAUUAGUCGAAAACUAUAUAUAAUAAUUUUAUUUGAUACAAUAUAAAUUUUUAUAUAAAUAUUGUGUAUAUAAUAAACAUUAUAAAAAAUAAAAAUAUUUGAUAAAUAUAAUGUUUAGAAUGUAUAAAAAAAUAUACUCGCGAGGAAGGGUUAAAAAUGUAGAUGGUUUCCAAAUGUCUAUGGUCCCAUACGCUUUUGCAGUUGGUGUAAGGGUAGUUGAGUUUAAAAACAAUAGCUUUACUCGUAAUCCAAUAUUCUUUCAUCAAAUCCGGUGGAACACCAAUAUGCUUGCUUCAACAUCUUCUUCUUCUGCUGUUGAUAUGAUCAAAGCAAGGACAUAUGAUGUUUUCCUUAGCUUCAGAGGCGAGGAUACUCGUGAUGGUUUCUUAAGUCAUCUGUACAAUGAUUUGUGUCGAAAGACUAUCGAAACUCUUAUAGACAGCGAAAAGCUUCGAAGAGGUGAUGAAAUUUCCGAGGCACUGUUGACGGCCAUUCAAGGAUCAAGGGUUUCAGUAAUUGUUUUCUCCAAAGACUACGCUUCUUCCAGAUGGUGCUUAGACGAGCUGGUCAAGAUCAUGGACUGCAACAAAUGUGUUGUUCCUGUAUUUUACGGUGUAGACCCCUCAGAUGUACGGAAACAAAGAGGGAGUUUUGCAGAUGCAUUUGCAAAGCAUGAAGAAAAUUUUAAGCAUGAGCUUGAAAGGGUGAAGUCCUGGAGAAGUGCUUUGACUGCAGCUGCCAAUUUAUCCGGUUGGGAUUCACAAGUCACUCGGUAAUUGCAUCUCCUUUUGUUUAGAUUCAAUCCUUUUUAAUUUUUUAAAUUAUACAUAUAUUGAUUUGGAAGAAGAGAGAUUCAGCACAGACUUUUGUUUCAAGCAGUGAUUCAUUUAUGCUAUCCAGAUACUUUAUAUGAAAGACUUAACUUCUCGAUUUCUUUUAAAUAUUUUUGUCAUAUAUUGAAGGACCAUAAUUUUGUAGGCAUAGAGAUCAACGUUUUUUUCGUUCUUUAACUCAAAGUUCACGAUACCUUCAUACGAUUCUCUCAUGCAUAAAAUCUAUUGUCCAGUCUAUUGAUAUAUUUAUUUCCAAGAAAAAAAAGUUAUAAUUUGAGGAUUUAAAAAGGGCUGCAAAUGGUGAAAUUUGAAUUUUAGAUAUAUAUUUGAAUGUCUUUUUUUUUAAGUGACCCUAUGAAUCAAUUGAAUUAAAUUUUGAUUCACUUGAUCAUUUUUAUUCAUUUGCUUCUCUUUCCCUUUUAUUUCUAUCUUAAUUUGUUUCUUCAUUUGAUAUAUAGGCCUGACUCAAUACUGGUAGAUAAAAUUGUCAAAGAUAUAAUGAACAAACUGAAUUGUGGAACCUCAAAUGCUAAUUUAGAAGGUCUAGUUGGAAUUGAGAGGCGGAUGCAGAAAGUUUUGUCAUUAUUUCAAGACGAAAUCCCAGAUUUUCGAAAGCUAGGUAUUUGGGGCAUGGGAGGUACAGGGAAAACUACACUCGCCGAAGCCAUUUUUCACCAUGUUUUAAAUGGUUUCCAAAGCUACUUCUUUCUUGCAAAUGUUAGAGAAUAUGAAGAACGAGGAAAAUUAUUUAAAUUGCGUCAGAAAUUUCUUUCAGCCAUAUUGGAAGAUGAAAAUUUAUGCAUCUCAACUUCCAGAAUUGGAUCAGGCUUUCUUAAGGAUAGGCUUUCUAGGAAGAAGGUUUUGGUAGUUUGUGAUGAUGUGUCUAAAUUAAGCCAACUCGAGUUUUUAUUCGGAGGAAACAAUCGACUCGGUCCUGGAAGUCGAGUCAUCGUUACAACUAGGGAUAAACAAGUGCUUAUCCAGUAUGGCAUUGAUCUCAUUUAUGAAAUGAAGGAAUUAGAUGAAGAUGAAUCAAUUCAGCUCUUUUCUCAACAUGCCUUCAAAAGCAAUAACCCCAUGGAAUAUCAUCAGUUGAAGCUAUCACAGAUGGUUUUAAGUUUUGCUAAUGGAAACCCUUUAGCUAUUAAAGUUAUCGGAUCCUCUCUUUGUGGCAAGACCAAAAGCUACCAAGAAAGUGAAGUAAAGAAACUAAAGCAAGUUCCUAACCCGGACAUUCAGAAACUGUUGAAAUGGAGUUUUGAUGGACUAGAAUGUGAAGAGAAAGAAAUGUUUCUUGACAUUGCUUGUUUCUUUAAAGGGAAGGAUCGAGACAUUGUAACAUGGAUUAUGGAUUCAUGUUAUGGCUUUGCGUAUUCAAGAAUUGAGAACCUCAUUGAUAAAUCUCUUAUAUCUGUUUCACAAAAUCAGAUAGCAAUCCAUGAUUUAUUGCAACAGAUGGGUUGGAAUAUUGUAUGCAAUGAAUCACCUUUAAUGCCUGAAAAACGCAGUAGGCUGUGGAUUCCUGAGGAUAGUUAUGAUGUGCUAACAAAAAACAAUGUAAGGGCCCUGUUCAUUUCCUUCACUUAUACAUGCAUGUAUAUGAUAAUUAUCUUGAGUUCAUGUUUUUGCCUAUAUCUUAACUCCAUAUACUGCUCCUGGGUUUAGGGAACGGAAAUGCUCAGAGGCAUUGUACUUGAUAUGUCCAAACUUGCAAAGUUGGAAUUGGAACCGAUAGCCUUUAUGAAGAUGCAAAGGCUUAGAUUUCUCAAAUUCUAUCAUACUUGUGGAAAAAUCUUACUUUUUAAAGGGCUUUUAUCAUUUCCUAACGAGCUAAGGUACCUUUACUGGGAAGGAUACCCUUUGAGAUCUUUGCCCACCAAGUUUGAUCUAAGGUACCUAGUUGAACUUGAUAUGAGAUAUAGCAAUGUCAAACAACUCUGGGAGGGGAAACAGGUACUCUUUUUACUUUUUAGUAAAUGCAAAUUCUUCUAUAGUAAAAUUAUUAGCUAUUUUUUCUAAUUAGCAAUUAACAAAAAAAAUAUAAUGGAAAAUAUUGAUUAGUAAGCUCCAUAAUUAUGAUUGUUAAUAGCUCUAUUUACUAAUGAUUGGAUAAUAUGAUAAUGUAACAACAAUCAUCAAUGUUUAACAUGCCAUAAUGUCUACAUAUAACAAUAUAAUUUUAAAAAAGUUAUCAUUUUUAUAAAAAAAAAUUUAAAAAAGUUAUCAUUUUUAUAAAAAAAAAUCAUUUUGGUAACUUAAUUUUCAAAAAUUUACAUUUUAGUCACUGAGUAAAAUAAGUAUUUAUUAUUUUAAAGUCGAAUUUGAAAAUAAAUAAUCAACUUUAAAGUUGAAAUUGUACUCGUUUUAAUUGUUUGAAGUUAGAAAAAUAAUGAGCCUACCGAGGGAACACCAUAAUUUCAACUUCUAUUUCAAAUUGAGUUUGAAUUUUAAAAGGAAUUCUAAUUUUAGAUUAAACCAAAAUUUGAGCGAUGUUGGCUCUACCACUCAAAUUAACAUACCAUUUUGAAGAUAGUUUAAUGUUUUGUUGCACUUUCAUGAUUUUUUUGGUCACAUCUCAAUGUACACAAAUUUAUCAAACACCGCGUCCUGUUGCAUGCAGGAUUUAGGAAAUUUAAAGGUCAUCAGACUCCACCAUUCCAAGAAUCUUGUAAGAAUCCCGGACCUCUCAAGUGCUACAAAUCUUGAAAAGAUAAACCUUCGCUGGUGUUUUAACUUGAUUGAGCUUCCUUCAUCCCUUCAACAUCUUGAGAAGCUAACUCUUUUGAAUUUCAGUUUCUGUAAAAAUCUUAGAUCUCUGCCUAGCUUUUAUAAAGCCACAUCCCUCACCAAACUUUAUCUUAGUGGCUGCUCAAAUCUGUUUAGUAUUGGAGAGGUUUCACCGAAUGUCACAAAGCUAUGUUUAGAAGGAAUUGCAAUUGAAGAACUUCCUUCCUCCAUCGAAUGUCUAUCUAAUCUUCGUGUAUUCUACCUAUGGGGUUGCAGGAGGCUUAAAUCUCUCCCCUCAAGUAUUCAUAAACUGAAAUCUCUCGAGUAUUUCGAUCUUCAAGGUUGUUCCAGAUUGGAGAUUUUCCCUGAAAUCAUGGACACUAUGGAGAGGUUAAGGGUUCUUGAUUUAAGUGGAACGGCUUUGAAGGGCUUACCAUCCUCAAUUGAUAAUCUUGUUGGUCUUGAGGAUUUGAGAUUGAACUACUGUGAAGACCUUGUUUGCCUUCCUAAAAGCUUUUAUAAAUUGGAAUCUCUUGAAAAUUUCAAUCUUGGAAAUUGCUCAAUAUUGGAGACUUUCCCAGAAAUCUUGGACACCAUGGAGGAGAUGUAUAAACUUGAUUUAAGCGGAACGGCUUUGAAAGAAUUACCAUCUUCAAUUACCAAUCUUAUUGGUCUUAAGGAUUUGAGAUUGAACAACUGUCAAAACCUUAUUUGCCUUCCUAAUAGCUUUUAUAAAUUGAAAUCUCUUGAGUUAUUCAGUCUUGAAGGUUGCUCGAGAUUGGAGAUUUUCCCAGAAAUCAUGGAAACCAUGGAGAGGCUGUAUGAACUUGAUUUAAGCGGGACAGCUUUGAAGGAAUUACCAUCCUCAAUUGCCAAUCUUAUUGGUCUUAAAUAUUUGGGAUUGAACAACUGUGAAAAUCUUGUUUGCCUUCCUGACAGUUUUUAUAAAUUGAAAUCUCUUGAGAUAUUCAAUGUUAAAGGUUGCUCGAGAUUGGAGAUUUUCCCAGAAAUUAUGGACACCAUGGAGAGGUUGUAUGAACUUGAUUUAAUUGGAACGGCUUUGAAAGAAUUACCAUCCUCAAUUGGCAAUCUUAUUAGUCUUAAGGAUUUCAGAUUGAACAACUGUGAAAACCUUAUUUAUCUUCCUAACAGUUUUUAUAAAUUGCAAUCUCUAGAGAAAUUCAAUCUUAAAGGUUGCUCAAGAUUGGAAAUUUUCCCAGAAAUCAUGGACAGCCUGUAUGAACUUGAUUUAAGCAGAACAGUUUUAAAGGAAUUACCAUCCUCAAUUGAUAAUUUUAUUGGUCUUAAGGAUUUGAGAUUGAACAACUGUGAAAACCUUGUUUGUAGUAAUUCAAAUCUAAUCGUAAAAAACUUGUUUACUGCGGAUGGAGGCAGACCAGUGAAUCAGAAAGAUCUCAAUGGGUUAUCCUCAUUGCACAAAUUAGAUUUAUCUGAAAGCAAUCUUGAGAACUUGCCCACAACCAUCAAACAAUUUCCUUUGCAUGAGUUAAUCUUGAGGAAUUGCAAGAGAUUGAAAUCAUUACCGGAGCUUCCACCAAGCCUGGUAUAUUUAGAUGCAUAUGACUGUACUUCAUUAAAGGAUAUCUCAAGCAUUAAGAAGCUUUUUGAGCAAGAACUGUUUUGUGAGGAUGGAUCGAAUCGAUUCUUGCAGUUGAAAUUUUGGAACUGCUUCAAACUGGGUGAGAAAGGUGUGGGGAAUGAUAUAGAUGCAGAUGACAGCACUUUUCUAGAGGAAGUGUCAAGCAUUAAGAAGGUUUUGAAGCAAGCAGUGUUUUGUAAACCCUUGGUUUGGCUAUUUACCAACUGCUUCCAGCUGGUUCAGAAAGCUGUGAGCAGUGCUAAAACACCAAAGUUGGAGAUGCCAUUUGAGCAUAUGGUCACUAUACUAAAAGAUUUUCAUCAGGUCAGCUUCUUCUUCUGGAUAGCUAUAUGCUGAAUAAUCUAUCAUGUUUCUAAUAAUUGUAAUCAAACAGGCACCCCCAGAAAGCAAAAAAAGAGCUUGCAUUAUUACAUGCGUCCCUGGAAGUGAAAUCCCGGAAUGGUUUGAUUUCAAAAGCUUAGGAUCUUCCAUAAACAUCCAAUUGCCUUCAGAGUGGUGCUCUAAUAAUAGCUGGAUAAACUUUCCAUGUUUCGUUGCUUCUGCUGUUGUUUCAUUCCCAGACUCUUCUUAUAGUGGUAGGGGAUUUGGCAUUAGAUGUGAAUGUCAUCUAAAAUCCUGUAACGGCGACAAUCAUUGCUUUAGUUGUUCUUCCUCCUUUUCAUUUGGAAGUCGAUUGUCAGAUCACGUGUUCCUCUUGUAUGAUGGUUUCAAAGUUAGGGAGAUUGUUAAAAUUGAGGCAUCAAACAACCGUAUUUACAAUGUGGCUUCCUUUCAUUUCUACAUUGAAGGGUGGGGUUCCUCACAAUGCGAGGUAAAACAGUGUGGAAUUCAUCUAUUAUUUCCAAAUUAAGGAUUAAAUGUAUGAGAGCUCAAUGAUGCUUUAUCCUCAUUUUUGUUAUUUCAGCUAUACUGAAUUUCACACCCUAAAUAUGCUUACAAAAUAUUUAACAUAUUACGUAUUUAUCAUUCGUUUUAUUUAUUAUUGUAACUUAUUUUUAUUAAUGUUUAUUUUUUCUCAAAUUUUAUGUCUUCUUUUUCAUUUCUUUAUCAUUUAAACACAAUUAGAAAUUUAAUGCAUGUCUAAAUUGAUUUCAAUAUAAAUAAGCUUAAAUACUCAUUUAGUUAUUGAAUUUGUCACUUUCUCUCUCAAAUUGGUAUUUAUGGUUUUUUCGCAAGUUAGUGCCAAAUUUUCAUUCCAUCAAGAGUUUUGGUAUCUUUUUUAUAAUGGUGUUAAGUGCGAGACAUAUGAAAUUUUUAGAUUGUGUUAUGUUAGCAAAAUACAAAUUUUUAAAAAAUAAAAAUUAAAAGGAAUACUUAAUUUUUUUACUGGAAAAAACUUGGACAUAUGAUUGUCCAUGUUCAUUCAUUCCAAAGCUUAUUUAAAAAAAACUUAGAAAUAUUUUUUAUAAAGUUUUAAUUUUUUAAAAAUUUUAUAAAUAUGUAAAAUAUUAUUAAAAUUUAUAAAAAUAUUAAAUGAAAUUCAAAAGAAUUUAAAAAUUAAUAAAAACCUAUUUAAAAGUUAAGUCCAAAAUGAAUUUGAAUUUUAUUUUUGUCCGGGUACAAUGUAAAUUUAGAAAACCUUUUGUUCGGAUUAAUUCAAGGUUUUUUUUAUAAAUUAUAUAAAGUUUAAAAAUUAUUAAAAAUUAAUUUGCUUUAAACAUAUAAUUUGUGUAUCAACCAUUAUUUACAUGAACGAGUCCCUUUUUUUUCAACCAUUAUUUUCAUUCUUUUUUGUACAAACAACAUUUAGGAACUUUGACUUCUUUGGUUCAAAAGUACAAUCUACAUUCUUUCAAUAACUUAGUAGCACCUACUCUUUUCAAUAUUAUAUAUAUAUAUAUAUGUGGCAGUUAGGGGACAUUAGGCCUCUUUGUUCUCUUCCUUGCAAUCUAAUUAGCCACAAAGUCUGAUAAUGGGACAUCAUCAUUAGAAAUGGAUUAAGUCUUUCCUUUAUCAGUUGUUUUUCUUUUUUGUGUGUGCACGUGCUCAAAGGCUUCUUCUACUGCUUUAGUUGUUGUUGCUCUUGUCAUGUAUCCAAGAGAUUUCAAUCUUCAAUAAUGGUUUUUUAGAAGUAGAACAAUAAAUCAGAUAAAAAAAAGUCAUGUACUAGAGGUUUUUGAGGAUUCAUAGCAACAAUACCUUUAGACAAGUAGUAGGUUCAAUUUUAAUUAGUGGAGGAUCAAUUGGGCUUUCAACAGCUUCAAUAACAUUACUUGUUGAGGCUCCCUAUAAUUUGCUUUUCCAUACUAGAGGUUGAGAUGAGGAGAUCUUAGAUCAAGAUGCUAUUUUAGAAGAGUUUGAAGGACUUGAACGCUGUUUUUUGCUUUCCUCUUGCUAUUGAUGUAACAUUGAAGAAACUUGGAAAAAAAUUUAGGGUGCGUUUGUUUGCAGGGAUAUAAUUUUCCAGAAAAUAUUUUCCUACUUUUACAGUGUUUGGAAGCUUGAAAAUAUUUUACAUUUGAAAAAUAUUUUCCAAACACGGGUAAAAUAACCUGCAAUUUGGGGAAAAUGUCUUACCCUUUUGAAUUCGGUAAGACAUUUUUCGGAAAAUGAUGCCUUCUUCUCCCUUUUCCCCUUCCCCUUCCCCUUCCCCUUGGGUUGCAAAUCAAAUCAGUGCCAUUCCUUCUUCCGUUUUUCAUUCCUUCUCCUUCUUCGGUUCCUUUUUCGGUUCCUCCUUCAUCCAGGUAAGGCUCCUUCUCCUUCUUCCGUUCUUCAUUCCUUCUCCUUCUUCCGUUAUUCAUUUUCUCUUCCAGGUAAAAGUCUGUCGCAUAUCUUCUCUUCUCAGCAUAUUCUGUUUUGUUUCCUCUCUUUCCCUCUUUCUCAGGCAAAUCUACCAUGAAUUCUUCGCUGGGUCUUGGCUUAAGGUAUAGCAUAAAACUAUUUUUUUCUUGUUGUUCUUUACUUGUCCACACUUUUAAUCAAUUUUAUGCCUGAAAUUUGUUGCCUUUCUUUGUUUCUUUGAUUCUUUGUUGCCUGUAACGAAAAAUCUUGAUGCUCUGCCUUCAGCAGCAACUACACUUAUAGAAGGUGAAACGAAUAAUAAUGUUUUACCUUUAAAAAAAAAGUUAACCAAAAAGAUGCUAUGGUCAAGCUAGAGCCCAUCAAACAGAUCAUGACCGAUUGGGAGAAGCAUAAUGAUGCAGGUCUCAAGGCACAAUUUCAGACCCAUGGAUGUGAUGGAUUCACACUACUUCAAGGCUCAACAACAAUGUCAAAGGCUAAGCAAAUUAAAUCAGGACUUGAUCAAAGACAAGAUUCGAGGAUGAAUCUUUUUGAGGAAAUGGAGAAUGAUAAAUGCACAGAUGGGGUGAAAUUUAUUAGAUUCUAAUCAUCAAAAUUGCCAAUUUUCAGGCUUGGGAAAUCAGCAUACUUUUGACGAAUUUUUGGAUGGGUUCCUAGCAUUUCUGGGUUGAGAUGUCUCAUGGUGUUUGAAUAUCUAUCUCUUAGCUUCGAAACGCAUUUUGAAUCACUCAAUUUUGAGUUCGGGAGCUCAAGUUAUGACCAUUUUAGUGAAGACUACGCGAGCAGAAUUUCUGAGACGGGAAUUACGAGUUUUGGGCUUUUAAUUUGAGUUUAAAUCAUAUUGGGCUUGGGUUUUAGGUUUAAUUUUUAUUAUAUAUGAGCCCAAUAUUUUAUUUAUCAGCUCUUAUUAUUUUAUUAUUGUUUUAUUCCGAAUUUUUGAUAAUUAUUAAGUAUUUUAAGUUAUUUAGGAAUUUUAUCUUAACAAGAAAGUUUAAUUUAAAACUACUUCUUGUUUAAAUUAAAUUAGAGUUCUAGUAUACUUAGGAGUUUUAUUUAGAUUUAUUUAGCCAGCCUAUAUAUAGGCCUUCGCAUUGUACACAAAAUAGACAAUUCAUUAUUAUUCUAUUUCUCUUUUGAGUAAUAAAUUCUCUCUGAGUUUUUCUUUUCAAGAAUUUCACUUGAGUUUCUUUUAGAAGAGUUUUAACAAUCUUUUUAGAUUGUGGGGAUCAUCUUCAAACUUUUUCUUGCCAAGGUUUUUAUCUUGGAGGGGAAAUUAGAGCUGUUUGAAGGGGGUUGUGGAUUCUUCGUGUUUCUAAGGCUUCUUAGGACUUCUACAAGCCAUGUUCUAUCUUUUCAUUUAUCUUCUUUAUUCACUUUCUUAAUCUUUGAUUUAUUAUUUGUUUUAAUUAUUUUAUCUAACUUGGAUUUAAUUUCGUUUCAGGUUGUGUCAAAAAAUCCAAGUUUCUUUCCGAAUGUCUAGAGCCCUAAGUCAAUUCCGCGACUUUGACAAACUUUACGAUCCGCUUUCACGUUCAUCCUUCUCACCCUUUAUCACAUAAUUUGAGCACAGAAUUAGAGUCUUUGUUGGGAGAAUUGCCUGAAAACAUUGUUGACUUUCUUAAAGAGCAGAGUUUUAGUGAUGGUCAAAUGGGUGAGGAUGAGAUUGAGAUCGAUAUUAAUACUCUAAGUCAUGAAACAUUGUACAAAUUGCAUAAAAUUUUGGAUAACUAUUUGCUAAAGAAGCAGAAAAACCAAGCAAAAGUUGAAUCCUGUGAUAUAGAGGUAUCCUUAUGCAUCUAUCUCAUCCUUUGGUGCCUUUCUUUUUCUUUUAUCCAAAAUGCAACAUUGGCAUUUAUGAUAUUGCUUUGUCUUUUCCGUUUUUGUAGCUUCUUAAUGAGUCAGGCUUUAGCAAUUCAUCAAUGCAACCGUGUAAAGGUAAUUUACCAACCUCUGUGCAUUUUUGGAUUUAUUUACAGAUAGCAAGGUAGUAGUAAACCAAAUCAUUGCAAAAACUAAUAUUUCUUCUCUUUCUUGUUCGGUAAUGAUCAAGUUGAUGAGGUCAUAGAUAUAGUUGGUAGCAGUUACCCUCCAGUAGCAAUUGAGAAAGGGUUAACCCAUAGAAAUAGCAAAUGUUGUAGUUCCAGUGGAUCUAGUGGUGAAUCGGGCUCUUCUUCUAGUGGUUUGUACAAUUAUACUGUAAUGAACUUUUCCUUUAUUUAUUAUGCUUAAGAGAUCUUGUUUCGAGCAAUUGUUGUGUGUUUGAGCAUGUUGUUUCUGCUUUAUUAUUGAAGAAAACUUAAAGGAAAUAUAUGUUUUGGAUAUGGGAAAAUAUAUGUAUGAAAAAAAUUCUAUGUGAAAGUUAUCUCUACUAAGAGUUCUUAUUUUUGUUGAGCUUAUUCACAAUUUUGUAGAUCAUAUUUUCUAGCUUGGGAUCAUUCUUUGAUGCUCUUCAUUGUUGUUGAGUGGUUGAUAAAAUGUUUCCAUGUUGUUGUUGUUGUGUUUUUUGUGUGUGUGUGUGUGCUAUUCCAUUCUUUUGUUAGGUUUCUACUCAAUUCUGUGUAUUUUUUGUAUCUAUCCUAAGGUGUAGAAGACUCGGAUUAGAACUUAAUCUUUAGGUAUUUGGCUUUUGGCUUUUUCCUUUGAGGAUGACUUCCAAAUAUAUCUCUGUGGAAGAUGUUCAUUGAUGGAAUUGAAUCUAUCAAUCCUUUUUCAACAGUUAAUUCUGCCCAUUUGCAAACAUAUUCUAUCAUUGUAACAUGCUUGCCCAUCUCUGCUGGCUGGUUUAUUUUAUCUCAGUUGUAUUUAGAUAACUUGAUUCCCUUAAAUUAGAAUAGGGUGAAACUAUGGAGAUGAGUCUUGAAACUUGGGGAUUCAAGAUGAAAGAAAGAAAUGGGAAUAGCUUUUGAGUAACAGGCCAGCUUUGUUUAUGAUAAUUUGUUCACCGUGUGGAACUUUUGACUGAAACUCUUGCUAUCAAUUAUGCAAUUUGUUAUCUUAGGUCUUCAUGCGAAUAAUAAUGGUCACCAUUUUUCUGAUUUUUGAAGUUUCUCUAGUUAGAACCAUUUUUGUUAAUUUUUUUGCUUGAGAUUUGAUGCCCCCUGCCUACUUCAUGUUAGUGAUGCAAGUUAAAUUGGGGACCAUCUAAAACAAGCUAUAAAAUCACGUGUUAUAAGGAUUACGUUGGACAUGCUUCACGGUAAAUGUAAACUUGUGCCAUUUCUUUACGGAAAAAGAAAAAAUGUAAACUUGUGAUGUCAAACUUGAGGACUAUUUGCUAAAGAGUUAUUACAAAACAGCUUCAUUGAUUGCAGUUAGUACCAAGGGAGCCACCAUUUUUAGUGGAGCUGAUUGUAGUCAAAUGUAUGAAUAUGGAAAGAAUCUUGGCAUAUCAUUCCAAGUUGUUGAUGACAUAUUGGAUUUUACACAAUCAGCAGAGCAACUGGGGAAACCAGCUAGUAGCGAUCUAGCUAAAGGCAACCUCACAGCACCUGUAAUUUUUGCGCUUGAAAAGGAGCCAAAACUUAGAGAUAUCAUUGAAUUUGAGUUCUGCGAGACUGGUUCCCUUGACGAAGCAAUCGAACUAGUAAAGCAAUGCGGGGGAAUCGAAAGGGCACAAGAGUUCGCAAAAGAGAAAGCUGAUAUUGCAAUCAAGAGUCUCCAAUGUCUUCCUCAAAGUGAUUUCCGAUUAGGGCUUGAAGAUAUGGUGAUGUUUAAUCUAGAAAGGAUUGAUUAGUUUAACUAAUCCAAAACAAGCAGCAUAAUACAUGGCAGAUAAACAUGGCAUGAAGUUGAAGCCUGUACCAAUAUAGAACAGCUUUCUUAGGAUAUUAAUUGGUUCCUUGUCACUAGUUGUAUAUUCAUACAAGGCUUUGAGCUUUGAUUUGAGCUCCUAGUUUCAACGUCUUCAAAUUAUACUUUUGUCUGAGAAAAAAUAAUUUCUCUGUAAAAUUAAAUUGAUGAACAAUAAAGUUUUUGUGGUCAUCAAUAUUAAGUUAAUAAACUUCCAUUAUGUAUACAAGGAAAACCUAUGUUAUAAAGGUUUCUCUUUUUCGUCUUAAAGUAUUUGUGUUUGACGUUUAUCCGAAAAAGUGUGAAUAGGCUUUGAUUAUUUUCAAUUUAUUACGGUUAAUAUUCUAGCUUAAUAAAAAUGUAUUAUUAUAUAUUUAAUUUAUGUAAAAACAAUUUAAAAUAUAAAUUUAUUAAUAUAUGUAAAAACAGCUUUUCCGGCAAAAAUUUUCAAGAAAUCUGUCAAACAAUAGAAAAUAUUUUACACAGAUUCAUCCAAACACAAGAAAAGUAAAUCAUUUUUCAGAAUUUUUAGAAGUAAUUAGUAGUAAAGAAAAGAUUGUGAGAUAGAAUUUUCUUUAGGGCUUUUGAUGGUUGAGGAGUAUUCCAGAUAAAAGUUCAAAAAUCCCUCUAAAUAAAAUAUUUAUGCUCCUUUUGAAAACUUAGAAUUUGAAAAUUUGGAUUUAGAUUUCAGUUAUUAUGUAAAUGGUAAGAAUUUGAGUUGUUUAUGGGCUAAGUCAAGUCUGCCUGAAAAAUGGGAGGGUUUAGAUAAAAAUAUAGACUCAAAAAUGGAUUUGGACAAAAAACAAGGCCAAUUUAGAAAACGGGUCGAGCUUCAGAUAAGGUUUUUUUGGCCCGACCCAACCCAACCCAAUUUUCAAUAAAAAAAACGCUAUUGUUUUUGCUGCUAUUUUCCCACUGUUUUACUACUAUUUCACUAUUAUGUUAUUAUUUUGUUGUUAAUGUUUGAAUAUUGUAUAACACUUGUUUUAUUGUUAUUUUUUCUACUAUUUUAGAAACAUUUGUUUGUUAAGUUGCAUUUAUCUUAGUGUUACUUAAGUAUAAAGAUUUUUUUUAAUUUAUUUUCAAUUUGUUGGAAAACAUUUAUUUUAAUAUUUUUAGUGUAUUUGGCGUAUUAUAUUUUUAAAUUUAUUUAUAUAAAAAAUAAAAUUAAAAAAUUAAUACAGACUAGGUCCGAGUUUUAGCAUGUUUAUCCGAGCCGACUUGGGAAAAAUCUAGACCCAUUUUUCAGGUCAAGCCAAGGCCUAGUAAUCGGGCCUAAAAUUUUGUUAUGGCCCGACCCGUGGACAACUCUAGUAAGAAUGAAAUGAUAUAUUAUAGAUAGAUUAGUUGAGAUUCAAUCUAAUAUAUAUUUAAAAAAAGAGAGUAGAAAAACAUGGAUUUAUCAAAUUCAAAAAAAGAAAUAUUAAGAUUUUAAAUUCAUUAAUAAAUAGACUUCUAACAAAAACUGAAAUUUGAAAAAUAAUCAUAAAUGUUACAUUUCUAAAUAAUUUACUACUCCACUUACAUUGUUUUUUAAAUUCAAAUCCUAAUUCUAAAAUCCUAAUUCUCAAGCGCUACCUAAAAAAAUUGUGAAUAAUUUUUAACCAUAAAAACGACACAAAAGUAGGAGUUUUUGGUGCCUUCUAGCUCACUAAAAAAUUCAAAUUUGCCAGACUCCAACAUCAUUCUCCAACUUCUAAUAAUUAAUUUAAUGCCCUUAUAUCACUAUACUUACCACUUCUUCAAAACUUCAAAUAUUAUAAAUCAAAUUUCAAUGUUAUUUUUUUAUGUCAUUUUGUUGUAGAUUUUUAAGCUUUAUGUUAGAACCUUUGACCAUUCAAACAAAUUUUGGAACAGGCAUAUGCCUUUUCUUGUCUCAUCAACUGUUUAGACAUAUUUUAGAGCAUGUGCAUAUUUCAGUCAAAGUUCAUUCAUGUUGGGAUUCUUGACAAUAAAGAGCCUUGAUUACAUCUGAUUUAAACCGAGGAGAUAAUUUCAUGCUAGAAUAUGGAGCAAUUAUCCUCGUUCAACCGACAGCCUUGGAGAUGAAAGAAAGAAGUAUCCUUAUCCUUUAUCUUUAAGAGUUUUCAAGUUGAUGGAAGAUUGUUUUAUAAAGAAAUUUAUUUAAAUAUUUUUCUAAGAUAAUUUAUGAAGAUAAUUUUUAGAAUAUGUAAUAAAGAUUCAUCUUCUAGCUAUCCAUCACAUUGAAGGAGAGCCUAUAAAUAGGUAGGUCAUUAAUCGACUUAUUCUUUAGCCAUUUUAAGGAUGUGUUAGACACCCCUUGUUUAGAUUUUUAUAGUGAGAUAUUGUAUGUAAUGCUGUGAGAUAUUUGGGAGAAGUGGUUUAUAAUAAUUAGGCUUUAGUAAAUAGUUGUACACAAAUAUUGUGUAUAAAUUCUCCCUUUAUUUGUCCCUUUUGACUCACAUACAUUUUAGGUUUUUUAGGCAAACUUUUUAGUUUAAUCCAACUUUUGUUCCGGCAGAAGAUAAAAUGAAACUGUUUUGAGCAACUGCAGACCAAGUUAUUUAUUUCUACAACAUAAUAAUUGAAACGAAGUACAAAUAAUGGUUUAUGUGAUUUUCAAUUUUGAAAUAAUUUCUUCACAUAUAAACCUAUCACAAACAAAGUAGUACUUGAUAUUUUUCAACAUAAAAACACUCCAUAAUUUAUCAAACAUAAACAUAACACAUACAAACUAGUAGUCAUGAAAGUAUUGAUACGAUCAUUACAAGAACUUCAUUGAUGAUGGUGAUGUGGUAAUUGCCAUGGGUCAUGAAGCAUGGGGGAAACUUUAUUUAUUUGUUCACCCACAUCCAUAUCCAUAGACAUAAUAACAUAUCAUCCAUAGGCCCAUAGCUUUAUUUUCUACCACAUUCAGGGAGGCCUGAAGUAAGCACUUGCACCUUUACACUUACGAGGCGGUGCCUUUGUUGGUAUGCAAUUUGUUCCACUACCACAUUCUUUUCCUUUGCGUUCACCACCUGCAACAAUCAUAUAUUAUGUCCAUCCAUGCAUACUGUUAAUUAUAUGUAUAUAUAUGGAUGUCCUAUAUAUAAACAAAAAGACUAGCUGCUGAAUCUUACCCAAGGGCUGGUCCUGGAUAGGCAUGGCGGAAAUGGGAAUAAAGAAAGAGGAAGCUAAGAGAACACAAACUAAAAGAAACAGUGGCUUCAUUUUGGAUUAU
rnacentral:lncRNA from 1 species